rnacentral:ncRNA from 1 species
AUUAAUGCUUAGACGAGGAAAAGUAAAAUGAGGAUGUUUUCACCAGAGAGCUUCGGGAGCUGAAAAGAAGCAAAACGAUUCAUUUGAACAAUGGCCUCUGAGCUUCGAGCUGAACGUAUGUAUCCAUAUUAGUAGGUCCAGACGGGUAUUGCUACUCGUUAUCAAAAGCACAGUAUAAAAGCUUUUUCUUGCUUUCGUACUUGUCGAGACUAAUAGCGUGAGCUAUUAGUAAAUAAAGGUGGUAUCACGGGGAACCCAGCCUCGUCCUUAUU